GAGGACCCGUCCCGCCCCGAGCCCCGCCCACCGCGGGGAAACCGCGCGCCCGGGGCAGGCCGGUGUCACCGAACCCUGGAGGAGCCCAGCUCCCUUCCGCUCUGAGAAGGAGAGAGAGAGGGAAGAGAGGGAAGGGAGGGAUAGAACUGAGAGGCUCGGCCUCAUGGUCGGCCCGCCGGCCGGCUUGAACAACGCUGAGGUUGAGAGGUUCUCUACCGCUGCUCUCAACUGACCAUAGAGGGCGGUGCCGGUGACUAGCCCCUGGCUGCAGGUAUUAACGCUUCAGCAUGACCCAUUAAAAUACCACAUCGCCUGUUUACUCCAUAGCUCUCCCUGUUCUCUUAGUACAGCAUGAAGACAGUGAGAGAGAACCAUAGAGGUCCCGUGGCGUUCUGAGUGUGUAUAUUGUUCUUCUCAGUGACCUGCCUAAACUUUGGGAAGCACAGAGUCCCUAACUGCAUCCUACGGGAAUUUCUGAAGAGCACCUUUCCAACAAGAGACAAGUACUGGAGGGAGAGACGUGGCUAGAAGCAUGGACGAGUCCUGUGGGCAAGAGCUGACAGUGGCCGGAGUUGCUAUGAUGGGAUCUGUUAUUCAACUGUCUUUAUUCUCGAAAUCCCCUUUCUUCUUUGAAGUGGCCGUGUCCUGUCUCAGCCUUGCAGAUAGCUGAGGGUGUAGCUAAAACUCUUUGGGAGAAACUUAUAGAGGACCAACCAAGGUCACCAAACCACGAUGACUAAUUCUUUCAGGUGACUUAAACUUGGCCCAUUGCAGUCCUGAACCGAGCAUGCCCAGAAGCAUCUGUUUUUCACCACCACUAAGAAGACAGCCUCCAGUCACUUGGUAGAAAGAAUAUUUUGAUCAGCAACGAUUUUCUCACGGCAUCAGCUUCUGCCUACCAAACCUUCCUAGAUUCCUCUGUAGGUCCUUUCUCCCACCCAGGCCAUUAAAUGUUGGGACCCUCCAAGUUCA